rnacentral:lncRNA from 10 species
AUUUAGUUCAAGAACUGUCUUCUCUGGAAAACUUUCUUUUUUUUUUUUUUUUUUCCUGAGACGGAGUCUCGCUCUGUCUCGCCCCGGCUAGAGUGCAGUGGCGCAUUCUCGGCUCACUGCAAGCUCCGCCUCCUGGGUUCACGCCAUUCUCCUGCCUCAGCCUCUCCGAGUAGCUGCGUCUGCAGGCGCCCGCCACCACGCCCGGCUAAUUUUUUUUUUUUUUUUUUUUUUUUUUUGGAUUUUUAGUAGAGAAGGGGUUUCACCGUGGUCUCAAUCUCCUGACCUCGUGAUCUGCCCGCCUCGGCCUCCCAAAGUGCUGGGAUUACAAGCGUGACCCACCGCGCCCCGCCUGGAAAACUUUCAGUGAUCACCCAAGACAGUCGUGCUUUGUCACCCAAGCUGGAGUGCUGUAGCCCCAUUUGAGCUCACUGCAACCUCUGCCUCCCAGAUCCAAACGAAUCUCAUGCCUCAGCCACACAAAAGUAGCUGGGAUUACAGAUGGCGUCUGCCUUUGUUGCCCAGGCUGGAGUGCAGUGGUGCCAUUUCGGCUCACUGCAACCUCUGCCUCCAGGGUUCAAGGGAUUCUUCUGCCUUAGCCUCCUGAUUAUGACUUUUUUAAAGUUAUAGAAUACACUUAAGAACAACUGGAAGAAAUUUGAAUAUGUACCUCUAUUUGAUGUUACUAAGGAAUUGUUGUUAACUCCUUACAUAUGAUAAUGGAAUAGUAUGGCUGUAAAUGAACAUGUCCUCAUUCUUUAGGAGAUACAUCCUGAAGCAUCUUGAUGUCUUUCAUUGAUUUUCACAUAGUUUAUUUGAAAAAUACAAACACAUUUAUAGCUACAUUAAGCAAAUGUGGCAAAAGUUAACAGUUAUUGAAUUUAGAUGUUGGGCAUAUGGAUGUUCAUUGUUCAUUUAAACAUUUCAGUAUUUACAAAUGUAUAAUAUAAAUUUGGAAACAAAAGAAAAAUGACAUAUGUGUUUUGUGUGUGUGAUUCUAUUUGUGUAUAUGUAUGUGAGUUAAUCUCCAGAAAUUCAAUAAAAAUCUUUGUCUCAGAAU